rnacentral:rRNA from 1 species
GGGUGAGUAACGCGUGGGAACCUGCCCAGAGGUACGGAAUAACAGUUGGAAACGACUGCUAAUACCGUAUGAGCCCGAGAGGGGAAAGAUUUAUCGCCUUUGGAGGGGCCCGCGUCAGAUUAGGUAGUUGGUAGGGUAAUGGCCUACCAAGCCUUCGAUCUGUAGCUGGUCUUAGAGGAUGAUCAGCCACACUGGGACUGAGAUACGGCCCAGACUCCUACGGGAGGCAGCAGUGGGGAAUAUUGGACAAUGGGGGCAACCCUGAUCCAGCAAUGCCGCGAGAGUGAUGAAGGCCUCCGGGUUGUAAAGCUCUUUUGCCAGGGACGAUAAUGACGGUACCUGGAGAAUAAGCCCCGACUAACUUCGUGCCAGCAGCCGCGGUAAUACGAAGGGGGCUAGCGUUGUUCGGAAUUACUGGGCGUAAAGGGCGCGUAGGCGGUUUGAUUAGUCAGAUGUGAAAUUCCCGGGCUUAACCUGGGCGCUGCAUUUGAUACUGUCAGGCUUGAAUUCGGGAGAGGAUAGUGGAAUUCCCAGUGUAGAGGUGAAAUUCGUAGAUAUUGGGAAGAGCACCAGUGGCGAAGGCGACUAUCUGGACCGACAUUGACGCUGAGGCGCGAAAGCGUGGGGAGCAAACAGGAUUAGAUACCCUGGUAGUCCACGCCGUAAACGAUGAGUGCUAGACGCUGGUAGGUUUACCUAUCGGUGUCGCAGCUAACGCAUUAAGCACUCCGCCUGGGGAGUACGGUCGCAAGAU